GGCUGAAAUUCGCCUUCAUGAAGCUGGAAUUGCUAGUAAUGGCAGGUCAGCAUACUGCCGUGAAUACGUUCCCGGGCCCUUGUACACACCGCCCGUCACACCAUGAGAGUUGGAAAUACCCGAAGCCUGUGAGCUAACUUAAAGAGGCAGCAGUCGAAGGUAGAGCCAAUGAUUGGGGUGAAGUCGUAACAAGGUAAC
rnacentral:rRNA from 1 species